AAUAUCUAAACGGUGAGAUUNNAUAUNNNNGCAAUUNAAUGUGCACUUCUCGCUUAGUAAGACGCUGUGAUCCAUUAGAAAUUGACCGUUCCAACGGUUGUUUGGUUAUCAAUAGGCCGGCUUAAAGUUCAUCGAUACAAAUAACUUGAUCUUUUAUGGUUGGGUAUAUUGUUUGGUGAGUUUGCUGUGUCCUGUAUAGCUGUCUGAUGGAUUUUAAAGGUCAUAUCAUUGAUGUUUUUCAUCNCUCNCACNUGAGAAUGGAUAUGUGCCCGAUCAACAGCGGUUAAAUUUGGGAUACCUUUUGGACCCGUCUUGAAACACGGACCAAGGAGUCUAUCUAGUAUGCAAGUAAAUGAGUAUGUUAAACUUAUUUGCGUAAAAAACUUGACUGUUAUGGGAUUACAAGUCGACAUUUAUGUCGGCUUCUCCNUCCCGGGGUAUUUUUAUCAACAUAUGCAGCAAUGUAUAUGGAAAAUAUACCAUGAGCAUACUGGAUAUGACCCGAAAGAUGGUGAACUAUGCUUGAUCAGGUUGAAGUCAGGGGAAACCCUGNNGGAGGACCGANNCAAUUCUGACGUGCAAAUCGAUUGUCAGAAUUGAGCAUAGGGGCGAAAGANNAAUCNANCCNUCUAGUAGC
rnacentral:rRNA from 1 species